rnacentral:rRNA from 1 species
CCUACGGGGGGCAGCAGUGGGGAAUAUUGGACAAUGGGGGCAACCCUGAUCCAGCCAUGCCGCGUGUGUGAAGAAGGCCCUCGGGUUGUAAAGCACUUUCAGUGAGGAAGAACGCCUGGUGGUUAAUACCCAUCAGGAAAGACAUCACUCACAGAAGAAGCACCGGCUAACUCCGUGCCAGCAGCCGCGGUAAUACGGAGGGUGCGAGCGUUAAUCGGAAUUACUGGGCGUAAAGCGCGCGUAGGUGGCUUGAUAAGCCGGUUGUGAAAGCCCCGGGCUCAACCUGGGAACGGCAUCCGGAACUGUCAAGCUAGAGUGCAGGAGAGGAAGGUAGAAUUCCCGGUGUAGCGGUGAAAUGCGUAGAGGUCGGGAGGAAUACCAGUGGCGAAGGCGGCCUUCUGGACUGACACUGACACUGAGGUGCGAAAGCGUGGGUAGCAAACAGGAUUAGAUACCCUAGUAGUC